rnacentral:rRNA from 1 species
UCCGUAGGCUACCUGCGGAAGGAUCAUUACC